GGCAGCAGCUAAGAAUAUUCCGCAAUGGACGAAAGUCUGACGGAGCGACGCCGCGUGGAUGAUGAAGGCCGGAAGGUUGUAAAAUCCUUUUAUGACUGAGGAAUAAGCAGUGUGAGAGAAACGCAUUGUGGUGACUGUAGGUCAUGAAUAAGCAACGGCUAAUUACGUGCCAGCAGCCGCGGUAACACGUAAGUUGCGAGCGUUGUUCGGAAUUAUUGGGCGUAAAGGGCAUGUAGGCGGUUCUGCAAGUCUGGUGUGAAAUACCGGGGCUCAACCCCGGAACUGCGUUGGAAACUGCAGGACUUGAGUCGCUGAGGGGCAGCCAGAAUUCCAGGUGUAGGGGUGAAAUCUGUAGAUAUCUGGAAGAAUACCAAUGGCGAAGGCAGGCUGCCAGCAGAUGACUGACGCUGAGGUGCGAAGGUGCGGGGAGCAAACAGGAUUAGAUACCCUGGUAGUCCGCACAGUCAACUAUGUACACUAGGUGUCCGCGCAUGAGCGUGGGUGCCGAAGCAAACGCGAUAAGUGUACCGCCUGGGGAGUAUGCCCGCAAGGGUGAAACUCAAAGGAAUUGACGG
rnacentral:rRNA from 1 species